CAGUACAUGUAGAGCCAACACUUCAAAAGGUCAAACCAACUACAAAUCACUCACCCACACAGAUCAGAGGGUCCAAUGAUGGUCCAAAAAAAGUUAUAUUGACUAUCAGGGAUUUAGCAGAGAUAUUACGAGUCUUAAAAGAUGGUCACUUUCAAGCUAUCAAAUGGUUUGAUUUUGCUCUCUACUUGGGUCUGUUUCAUGAUGAUCUGAAGAUUAUUGAGGAUAAGUGUCCACGAGAUGCUAAGCGAUGUCUCAGAGAAUGUUUAGCAAAAUGGCUUACAGAUGAUAUUGAAGCAACAUGGAACAAACUAGCUAUUGCUGCUGGUGAAAUAGAAGAGACAUCAGUUGCUGAAUAUAUAAGAUCAAGAAAAGAGCUUAUUUAAAAUGAUUGCAUAACAUUGGAAUAGCUGGCUGAUAUUCUUUUUACUUUUUAAAUAAUAAGUGAUAUACAUGUAAUUAUGUGUCUUGUACUCUCAGAAUUAAAAUAUUAUGUCAAAUAAUCAAACACUAUCUAUACAGAAGGUAUUACUAUUACAGACAGGCUACUACAAAGAAGUAUGGUAAUUUGAUCACUACUGGUCUAGCUCCACUUAAAAUCCUUCAAAGUUUGACUCUAGUUGGUAAGUGUGUUACAGUUUGGUGAUGCCAAAUAAAUAAGCAUGAGACUCAUGUAGUUUAUCCUUUCAAGCAAUCAUAGACUACAUCUGUUUGUAGUCUGACAUAUCUUGGAUUUUCUAUGCAGAUGCUAGAUUAUAGCUGAUACAAAAAUAUCCGGAUCUAAAAUUCUAGAAUGACUGGGCAAGUAAUCAGCAUGCCCACACCACACCCUACUAGGUAGAAAGCACCAAAGUCCUUCCUUGUUCCCCUCAUCAGAAAGUGGACCAUUUUUAGUCUCUAUGACUUGACU